rnacentral:rRNA from 1 species
GCAAGUCGAGCGCACCCUUCGGGGCGAGCGGCGGACGGGUUAGUAACGCGUGGGAACAUACCCAAUGGUACGGAAUAGCCUCUGGAAACGGAGAGUAAUACCGUAUGUGCUCGAAAGAGGAAAGAUUUAUCGCCAUUGGAUUAACCCGCGUUAGAUUAGAUAGUUGGUGGGGUAAUGGCCUACCAAGUCUACGAUCUAUAGCUGGUUUGAGAGGAUGAUC